rnacentral:tRNA from 2 species
UGGGGGAUCGUCUAAUGGUAGGACAUCGCCCUUUGAAGGCGAGUAUCGGGGUUCGAAUCCCUGUCCCCCAGCUA